UACGGGGGGAGCAAGCGUUGUUCGGAUUUACUGGGCGUAAAGGGCGCGUAGGCGGCCAGCACAAGUCAGUUGUGAAAUCUCCGAGCUUAACUCGGAACGGUCAACUGAUACUGUGCGGCUAGAGUGCAGAAGGGGCAACUGGAAUUCUUGGUGUAGCGGUGAAAUGCGUAGAGAUUGGGAAGAACACCAGCGGCGAAAGCGUGCUACUGGGUCUGCACUGACACUGAGGGACGAAAGCUAGGGGAGCGAAAGGG
rnacentral:rRNA from 1 species